rnacentral:rRNA from 1 species
GACGAACGCUGGCGGCGUGCUUAACACAUGCAAGUCGAACGGAAAGGCCCUGCUUUUGUGGGGUGCUCGAGUGGCGAACGGGUGAGUAACACGUGAGUAACCUGCCCUUGACUUUGGGAUACUUCAGGAAACUGGGGCUAAUACCGGAUAGUAGCUCCUGCUGCAUGGUGGGGGUUGGAAAGUUUCGGCGGUUGGGGAUGGACUCGCGGCUUAUCAGCUUGUUGGGGGGGUAGUGGCUUACCAAGGCUUUGACGGGUAGCCGGCCUGAGAGGGUGACCGGCCACAUUGGGACUGAGAUACGGCCCAGACUCCUACGGGAGGCAGCAGUGGGGAAUAUUGCACAAUGGGCGGAAGCCUGAUGCAGCAACGCCGCGUGCGGGAUGACGGCCUUCGGGUUGUAAACCGCUUUCGCCUGUGACGAAGCGUGAGUGACGGUAAUGGGUAAAGAAGCACCGGCUAACUACGUG